rnacentral:rRNA from 1 species
GGUGAUAGUGGCAAACGGGUGAGUAACACGUGAAUAAUCUGCCUUAGAGUGGGGGAUAGCCAUUGGAAACGAUGGGUAAUACCGCAUAAUAUUAAUAUUUGGGGACAAAUUUUAAUCAAAGAUUUAUCGCUCUAAGAUGAGUUCGCGCUCUAUCAGCUAGUUGGUAAGGUAAUGGCUUACCAAGGCGACGACGGAUAGCCGGCCUAAAAGGGUGAACGGCCACAUUGGAACUGAUACACGGUCCAAACUCC